GAUGAACGCUAGCUACAGGCUUAACACAUGCAAGUCGAGGGGUAACGAGAGGAAAGCUUGCUUUCCUUGUUGACGACCGGCGCACGGGUGAGUAACGCGUAUCCAACCUGCCCCCAACUAGGGAAUAACCUUGCGAAAGUAAGACUAAUACCCUAUACUUUCCUCAGAUGUCAUCUGACGAGGAAUAAAGAUUUAUCGGUUGUGGAUGGGGAUGCGUCUGAUUAGCUUGUUGGCGGGGUAACGGCCCACCAAGGCAACGAUCAGUAGGGGUUCUGAGAGGAAGGUCCCCCACAUUGGAACUGAGACACGGUCCAAACUCCUACGGGAGGCAGCAGUGAGGAAUAUUGAUCAAUGGGCGGAAGCCUGAACCAGCCAAGUAGCGUGCAGGAUGACGGCCCUAUGGGUUGUAAACUGCUUUUAUACAGGAAUAAAGUUAGCCACGUGUGGUUAUUUGUAGGUACUGUAUGAAUAAGGACCGGCUAAUUCCGUGCCAGCCGCCGCAGUAACAC
rnacentral:rRNA from 1 species